GGGGAUGUAGCUCAGUGGAAGAGCGCAUGCUUUGCAUGUCUGAGGGCCCUGGGUUCAAUCCCCGGCAUCUCCA